rnacentral:snRNA from 1 species
AUUGCUUCUCAGCCUUUUGGCUAAGAUCAAGUGCAGUAUCUGUUCUUAUCAUUUUAUUUGUUCAGAGCAGUCAAGUAGCUUGACCAAGGCAUAGUUGGACUAUGAACUAGAUUCCAUAUAUUUUAGACUCAAACACAAGAUCUUAACCUACU